UACGGAGGGUGCAAACGUUGCUCGGAAUCAUUGGGCGUAAAGCGCACGUAGGCGGCCUGAUAAGUCGGGUGUGAAAGCCCUGGGCUCAACCUUGGGGCUGCGUUCGAGACGGGUAUUCUAGAGUGGGGAAGAGGGUCGUGGAAUUCCCAGUGUAGAGGUGAAAUUCGUAGAUAUUGGGAAGAACACCGGUGGCGAAGGCGGCUCACUGGACCGGUAUUGACGCUGAGGUGCGAAAGCGUGGGGAGCAAACAGG
rnacentral:rRNA from 1 species